rnacentral:rRNA from 1 species
AUUGAACGCUGGCGGCAUGCUUUACACAUGCAAGUCGAACGGCAGCGCGGGCUUCGGCCUGGCGGCGAGUGGCGGACGGGUGAGUAAUGCAUCGGAACGUGCCCAGUAGUGGGGGAUAGCCCGGCGAAAGCCGGAUUAAUACCCCAUACGACCUGAGGGUGAAAGCGGGGGACCGAAAGGCCUCGCGCUCUUGGAGCGGCGGAUGUCGGAUUAGCUAGUUGGUGGGGUAAAGGCUUACCAAGGCGACGAUCCGUAGCUGGUCUGAGAGGACGACCAGCCACACUGGGACUGAGACACGGCCCAGACUCCUACGGGAGGCAGCAGUGGGGAAUUUUGGACAAUGGGGGCAACCCUGAUCCAGCCAUGCCGCGUGCGGGAAGAAGGCCUUCGGGUUGUAAACCGCUUUUGUUCGGGAAGAAAUCCUCUGGGCUAAUACCCCGGGGGGAUGACGGUACCGGAAGAAUAAGCACCGGCUAACUACGUG